rnacentral:rRNA from 1 species
AGAGUUUGAUCCUGGCUCAGAUUGAACGCUGGCGGCACGCCUAACACAUGCAAGUCGAGCGGUAGCAUGAUUUGUAGCAAUACAGAUUGAUGACGAGCGGCGGACGGGUGAGGAACACGUAGGAACCUAUCCUCGAGAGGGGGACAACCAAGGGAAACUUUGGCUAAUACCGCGUAAACUCGAGAGAGCAAAGCAUCCGCGAGGGUGCGCUAGAGGAGGGGCCUGCGUCCGAUUAGCUAGUUGGUAGGGUAAAGGCCUACCAAGGCGAUGAUCGGUAACUGGUCUGAGAGGACGACCAGUCACACUGGGACUGAGACACGGCCCAGACUCCUACGGGAGGCAGCAGUGGGGAAUAUUGGACAAUGGGGGGAACCCUGAUCCAGCGAUGCCGCGUGAGUGAAGAAGGCCUUCGGGUCGUAAAGCUCUUUAGGUUGGGAAGAAGGGGACGAAAGUCCUUUGACGGUACCGACAGAAUAAGCACCGGCAAACUCUGUGCCAGCAGCCGCGGUAAUACAGAGGGUGCGAGCGUUAAUCGGAGUUACUGGGCGUAAAGGGCGCGUAGGCGGUGAUAUGUGUGCGAUGUGAAAGCCCCGGGCUUAACCUGGGAAGAGCAUCGUAAACGGUAUGACUGGAGUAUAUGAGAGGGUGUCGGAAUUUCCGGUGUAGCGGUGAAAUGCGUAGAGAUCGGAAGGAACGUCGAUGGCGAAGGCAGGCACCUGGCAUAAUACUGACGCUGAUGCGCGAAAGCGUGGGGAGCGAACAGGAUUAGAUACCCUAGUAGUCC